UUGUAUGCAACUUGCAUGUCUUUCUUAACUAAAUGUUUGUUUAAAUCGUGUUUUUCAGGAAAAAGAAGAAGUUAAAGUCAAGUGGAAGCCCUGCUCAACAUGGUAUGUAGUAACAGCUUUGUUACUACAAAACUCUCCCCCUCUCCCUCACCACCAUCUGUAAACACACAUGUCUCAGUAAUGCAGUUCAUGCAUGUUACUAACUAAACUUCUUCCCUGGAGUUUCUGUGCUCUCUCAUCCAGCAGGUUCUGAAGGAUCGUGGCUGCUGCUGUGGUCCUGCUUGACGUCUGCUUCAUAUAUUAUUACUCUCUGACUUGAUUUGAUUCAUUUAUAUUACAAUGAAGUGGCAAAGUGUGGGAUGACACAUGGGA
ensembl:lncRNA